UCACUGCUACGGGGUGUGGGGUCACCAAUAUGGAAUAUAGGGAUGCGGCUAUGGGGCGUGGGGACCCUCUGAGCCUAUGGGGACCCCAAUAUGGGGUGUGGGGACAGCGCUAUGGGGUCACUGUCAUAGGACACGGGGACAGGGCUAUGGGGUGUGGGGUCACCAAUAUGGGACGCGGGGACACUGCUAUGGGGCGUGGGGACAGCAAUGGGGUGUGGGGACCCUCAGAGCCCAUGGGGUGUGGGGUCACUAAUUUGGGAUGUGAGAUCACUGCUAUGGGAUGUGGGGACGGCGCUAUGGGGUCACUGCUAUGGGACAUGGGGACAGGGCUAUGGGGUGCGGGGACAUCAAUGGGGUGUGGGAACAUCAAUGGGGUGUGGGGUCACUGCUAUGGGACAUGGGGACAGCACUAUGGGGCCUGGGGACAUCAAUGGGGUGUGGGGACUCUCUGAGGCCAUGGGGACCCCAAUAUGGGGUGUGGGGGCACCAAUAUGGGGUGUGGGGGCACCAAUAUGGGGUGUGAGAUCAUUGCUACGGGAUGUGGGGACAUCAAUGGGGCGUGGGGUCACUGCUAUGGGACAUGGGGACGCUGCUAUGGGGCGUGGGGACACCAAUGGGGUGCCGGGACAGCGCUAUGGGGUCACUGUUAUGGGACGUGGGGACAGGGCUAUGGGGUGUGGGA
rnacentral:lncRNA from 1 species